UUGAACGCUGGCGGCAGGCCUAACACAUGCAAGUCGUGCGGAUGAAGGGUGCUUGCUCCUGGAUUCAGCGGCGGACGGGUGAGUAAUGCCUAGGAAUCUGCCUGGUAGUGGGGGAUAACGUCCGGAAACGGGCGCUAAUACCGCAUACGUCCUGAGGGAGAAAGUGGGGGAUCUUCGGACCUCACGCUAUCAGAUGAGCCUAGGUCGGAUUAGCUAGUUGGUGGGGUAAAGGCCUACCAAGGCGACGAUCCGUAACUGGUCUGAGAGGAUGAUCAGUCACACUGGAACUGAGACACGGUCCAGACUCCUACGGGAGGCAGCAGUGGGGAAUAUUGGACAAUGGGCGAAAGCCUGAUCCAGCCAUGCCGCGUGUGUGAAGAAGGUCUUCGGAUUGUAAAGCACUUUAAGUUGGGAGGAAGGGCAGUAAGUUAAUACCUUGCUGUUUUGACGUUACCAACAGAAUAAGCACCGGCUAACUUCGUG
rnacentral:rRNA from 1 species